CAUCUCCGUAACAGGGUUCCAGGUGAGACCGCCAUGGUUGAACAACCACCUCGUUGGAGAGGCAGCAUACGGUGGCGGUUGAGCUUGUUCCGCCAGUCCCGGAGAUGCCAAAUUU